rnacentral:rRNA from 1 species
CGGCACGGGUGAGUAACGCGUAUGCAACUUACCUAUCAGGAGGGGGAUAACCCGGCGAAAGUCGGACUAAUACCGCAUGAAGCAGGGGCCCCGCAUGGGGAUAUUUGCUAAAGAUUCAUCGCUGAUAGAUAGGCAUGCGUUCCAUUAGGCAGUUGGCGGGGUAACGGCCCACCGGGGCGACGAUCAGUAGGGGUUCUGAGAGGAAGGUCCCCCACAUUGGAACUGAGACACGGUCCAGACUCCUACGGAAGGCAGCAG